UAUGAGUACCUAUUAAAUUUAAACUGGAAUCUAUAAUAUUCUCCAUAUAUAAAUUAAUCCCUAUUUCCCUGGUCUCGCCAUAAUUUAUCAACCCGAGAAUAAUGGAUGGGUACUCGAAAAUAAUCAGUACCAUUUUAAAUGGUUUGAAGGUGAUCAGUUACCAAACUUCGUUAGAGAUUCACUGAAAACUGUCUCAGAAACUGACGCAGAAGAAGAAGACCAAGAUAUCGAAUGGAGUAACAGUGACGAAGAAAA